ensembl:lncRNA
CUUCAUUAGCCCUCUUUCGGAACAUUUAUUAUAUUUAAUUAAUAAAAAAGUCCCAUCACUGACCAGCAGGGCUCCCUGACUGGCUUCCCGCUGAUCUGGCACCAGCCGGGCCAAUCAGAGAGAGCCGCCAUGGGUCCGUCAAAUAUAGUCCAUGAGCACGUGUGGCGUGGUGGACAGAACCCUCUGGCUUGUCUUGGGAGACCAACAGCACCUGGUCCAGACAUGGAGAGUCGGAGGGUGUCAUAGCAGUGGGGAGUGGGCAGAAGAGACAACUUAACUUAGAGCUCGCUCAGGCAGAGAGGCAGAGGGAGACAUAGACUGACACACACACACACAGAGACAGACUGACAGUACUGACGGUGAGAGAGAGAGACGGACAGACGGAAACGGAGCGAGACAGCGGUAGAGGAAGAGGAGCAGGACCUCAGCUUGUGGGUUAUCGGCUACAGUGUAAGAAGGACGCCCCGCUGAGCUGCAGGACUGACUGAUAGAGCCUCCAAGGGUUCAGAGAGCACAUUGAACCAGAGCAAUAUGGAGGUCAGAGUUCACCGAACACGAGCAGCAACGUUUUACUCCAUUUGUCAACUAUUUGCAGUUCUCUGCGGACCUUUACUUCAUGUCCAGGGUCAAGCAUGCCUCUAUACGGUGAAGCAGACGUGAGUCUCACUGGUAAAUGACGGCGGAGUAUGAAACAACAUCCUCUGUCAUUAGCAGCAGCAAUUAAGGGACAUGCUAAUGAAGGGUGUGUGGCACUUCACGUUUGAAACACCAUGGAUUGUUAUUUUCUUGCUAACUGUAUCCUGCUCUUGAUCAUUAUGUUAUCCAUUAAAGUGUCCUCUGGUGUUUUGAUUAAAACGAACAAAAGAUAUUCUGCUCAUGAGUUCUUGGUACAGGUAGCAUUUUGUAAUGUUUUACCAUGUAUGUGUUUUGGCCUUUAGAGCAGUGCUUCUCCAUCUAUGUUAUGUUCCCCCACAACCCCAUCAGUAUGCUUCAAGAACUCCUUCAACAUCCAACUAGAAGUACUUUCCUUUCAACCAAUUGUACACGAUUAUCGUUAAGUAUCAACAUUAAAAACAGU